AGCGAAAACACUGGUGACCUCUCCUCAGCAGUUGCAACGAUGUCAAGGAGCCAGCCAGGUUUUAUGGAGUCUUUCGUACGAAUCCGAUGCGCAGAAGGAGUGGUUUUGGCUGGGCCUCCGGGGUUUUUCUGCUUUUCACUUUAAUGGGUUUUGGCGCCAGAGGACUUGGCGAGACCCUGGGUGCGGCCGGGACCGCCGACCCACUAAACCCACAGCAAGGCAGGGACGGCAGUCGCCCCUGGGCGAGGGCUGAGUCUCAGCGCCGUGGCCCCGCGCCCCCGCAGCCGCUGGCUGACAGCGCCGCGCAAAUUCCCUGGCACAAGCGGAGCAGAAGGAGGCUGGUUGCCGGCAUCCACAUCCCACCCGGGCCCGACGCGGGCCACUGCGCAUGCAACACGUCCGCAGCAUGUCCCCUGCCGCUCCCGCCGCGGCAGCCCCCCGCACGCAGGGGGACGCGGGGCUGCAGAGGCCCGCUCAGCCCUCCCCGAGGAGGCAGCCGCAACCGCCACGGCACCGCUGGCAACACACACCUUCAAGAAUAGGUCUCGGGCGCUCAGAGCGCAGCAGGAAGUGCUACCAACUAGGACAAGAAGACAGUCAUUUUACUGACUCCACGAUGGUAACCGUGUUACCUCUCCAGCUGCUUCCCCAAGAAAGAAGGUCACAAACUGCUGACGGUGCCACAGGGUGGGCUGGGUGCUGGGUGCUGGGCGCUGGGCGCAGGGCGCAGGGUUUAAGUGGUAUCAUGCUGCGUUUUGAAGGAUACCGUUAUCCUUAAACUGGGAGGGAAGAGAAUCUACUUUGUACGCAAAGCGCAAAUGUGUUCACAGACUAAAGAUUAAUCAAUUUACCUACAUACACAUAUGUAUGUUGUUUUAAAUAAAAAUUACAAAUAGCUUUGUAAAACAA